UCCGGAAGUUUGAUAAGAGCAGUCAAGGGCUAGUGACCUGGUUGAAAAGUAGAGGAGCUUGAAGCUGAGAGAAUACGGACGAUUCGGCCCCGUGACAUGUUCUUCGCGGGGACGCAAGAAGCCCGAGCCCAGGCCCCAAACACGGCUAUUCGGCUAGCCACUGAGCACCUGAAGCGGAAAACCUAGCCCCAGAAGGACUCCGUGUUCUCCGGAACUACAUUUCCCAGAGGCCGCCGCCCGAAGACAGACAGCAGCGUUAGCCAAUAAAAUGGGAGAAUAUCUCAGGCGCCUAUUCGUUUCAGACGAAUCAUUGAUGACAGGUGGGACUUUUCUACCAGCUGGUUGGGGAGCAAUUCGGGCCAAGCACCAGGCAGCGAGUGUGCUGUGGUGGGAGAAGAAAAAAGGAGACACUCCUUCCUCUUAAGGAAUGCAAUGCAGCGGAGGGUGCAUUUUCUAAAACGCUGCCACGGAGUUAUGUGCAACCCAAAUAACUCCAAUGCAGUGCUAUUAAAUGCUUUGCGAAAUGCUACGUGCUAAAUGGAGGUGUGUUCAAAGGAAAUGACUUGAU
rnacentral:lncRNA from 1 species